UGCUUCUCUCCAGAACUUUAUGAAUAAAAACAUAUUAUGAUUCAACAUUGAUUUUCAAGAGAGAGAGAGAGAGAGAUCAGCAACAGCAAGUGAGGAACAAGAAGCCAUCCUUAUUGUUGAGGGUACAAGAAAAAAAUUGAAGGCAUCAGACUGCUGUGUGGGUGUCAUUUGUUUGUUUGGUUAGAAAUACCAAGAAAAACACUUAACCACUGGUCCCACUACCACUCACUAGCAAUGUUUUUCUCUCUGAGGAAUGAAUGAAAAACAAGACAGAAGAAACUAAUUAAGCCUUUUUUUCUCCUAUUUUCUAUUACCACAACUGCAAGAGAGAAGGAAGAUAAUAAUUGUAGUAACACAAAGGACAGGAGUCAUUCAAAGCUCUUGAAAAUCUUUCUCAAUCACAAUCAAGGCAUGGAAUGGGACCUCAUAAGACAUGUUCCCCCACCCCAUGUAUUCAUUAUUGGAGGACAAGGGUCUUAACAAAACUUCCUCUCUCCCUGUGAGUGUCUUUGAUCUUUCAUCUAUUUAUUUAGUCUCUCUGCACUUCCAGUAGGAGCUAACUAAUUUGCUUUCAUUUUGAGUUCCAAAAAAAAGAAAAAUGAAAGCUUCGAGUUCCAUUACCUUGUGCUUCUUAGUAACUUUGAUCUUCGUUCUCUCAUCUCCAACCAUUACAAUACUAGCUUCUUCCUCUUCUUCUUCUACUUCUUCAGUGUUGCUGCAGACAGGAAAAACAAGUGUGAGAAAGCUAGGCAAUCAUCAACAAGACAAGCUAAAUAUCAAGGUCAUGAACACGCAAUCUGAUAUCAUCCAAGGAGUUCCAGCAGAAGCUGAGGACAAUGGCGAAGAGCUUGUUUAUCAUGUUGAUUACCAUGGAGUUUCCACACACCCAACUCCUACUCCAAAACAUCCCAGACCAUAGAAAAGAAGUUAACUGUAUGUGAAGGGAGAGACAAAAAGAUCCCUUCAACUUAGAAUGUAUCAUAUUUUAUUCUUUUUGGUAUAAGAAUGUAGUUCAUAUAUUUCAAUGGAAUGGAUUUUUCCGUCGUGCCGUUGUGCCCUCAAAGCUAUUCUACAGAUGUACCAACCACCAUGUAACAUUUCUAUUAUAAGCUGUAGCAUAAUAAUGUGAAUAAUUCUCC